rnacentral:sRNA from 1 species
UUUGGAGUAAAAAGUCGUAACAAGGUUUUCCGUAGGUGAACCUGCGGAAGGAUCAUUAACUAAUGUAUUGGCACUUUACUGGGAUUUACUUCUCAGUAUUGUUUGCUUCUAUACUGUGAACCUCUGGCGAUGAAGGUCGUAACUGACCUUCGGGAGAGACUCAGGACAUAUAGGCUAUAAUGGGUAGGCCUGUUCUGGGGUUUGAUCGAUGCCAAUCAGGAUUACCUUUCUUCCUUUGGGAAGGAAGGUGCCUGGUACCCUUUACCAUAUACCAUGAAUUCAGAAUUGAAAGUAUAAUAUAAUAACAACUUUUAACAAUGGAUCUCUUGGUUCUCGCAUCGAUGAAGAACGUAGCAAAGUGCGAUAACUAGUGUGAAUUGCAUAUUCGUGAAUCAUCGAGUCUUUGAACGCAGCUUGCACUCUAUGGAUCUUCUAUAGAGUACGCUUGCUUCAGUAUCAUAACCAACCCACACAUAAAAUUUAUUUUAUGUGGUGAUGGACAAGCUCGGUUAAAUUUAAUUAUUAUACCGAUUGUCUAAAAUACAGCCUCUUUGUAAUUUUCAUUAAAUUACGAACUACCUAGCCAUCGUGCUUUUUUGGUCCAACCAAAAAACAUAUAAUCUAGGGGUUCUGCUAGCCAGCAGAUAUUUUAAUGAUCUUUAACUAUGAUCUGAAGUCAAGUGGGACUACCCGCUGAACUUAAGCAUAUCAAUAAGCCGGAGGAAA